rnacentral:rRNA from 1 species
AGAGUUUGAUCAUGGCUCAGGAUUAACGCUAGCGGCAGGCCUAAUACAUGCAAGUCGAACGGUAACAGGUGUAGCAAUACAUGCUGACGAGUGGCGCACGGGUGCGUAACGCGUAUGCAACCUACCUAUAACUGGGGAAUAGCCUUCUGAAAGGAAGAUUAACACCGCAUAAAAUCAUGAAACGGCAUCGUUUUAUGAUCAAAUCAUUGAGGUUAUAAAUGGGCAUGCGUGACAUUAGCUAGUUGGUGAGGUAACGGCUCACCAAGGCUACGAUGUCUAGGGGGUCUGAGAGGAUGAUCCCCCACACUGGUACUGAGACACGGACCAGACUCCUACGGGAGGCAGCAGUAAGGAAUAUUGGACAAUGGGCGCAAGCCUGAUCCAGCCAUGCCGCGUGAAGGAUGACGGCCCUCUGGGUUGUAAACUUCUUUUAUACGGGAAUAAACCCCUGGUUUCUACCAGGGCUGAAUGUACCGUAAGAAUAAGGAUCGGCUAACUUCGUGCCAGCAGCCGCGGUAAUACGAAGGAUCCAAGCGUUAUCCGGAUUUAUUGGGUUUAAAGGGUGCGUAGCGGACUAUUAAGUCAGUGGUGAAAGCCUGCAGCUUAACUGCAGAACUGCCAUUGAUACUGAUGGUCUUGAGUACAUUUGAGGNNNNNGGAAUGUGUCAUGUAGUGAAAUACUUAGAUAUGACACAGAACUCCGAUUGCGAAGGCAGCUCACUAAACUGUAACUGACGCUGAGGCACGAAAGCGUGGGGAUCAAACAGGAUUAGAUACCCUAGUAGUCC